rnacentral:rRNA from 1 species
UCCUCCACCUCAGAUGGCUUUUUUAUUUCUCAAGAAAAGUACAUCCAGGAUCUUCUUGCUCGUGCUGCUCUAAGUGAUGAGCGCACUGUGGAGACUCCUAUGGAGCUUAAUGUUCACCUUUCUGAUGGCGAGCCCUUGUCUGAUCCGACUCGCUAUUGUCAUCUUGUCGGGAGUCUUGUCUAUCUCGCUGUCACUCGACCGGAUAUCUCCUAUCCUGUUCAUAUUCUGAGUCAGUUUGUUUCUUCUCCCACUUCGGUUCACUAUAGUCACCUUCUUCGUGUUUUACGAUAUCUUCGUGGCACGAUCUCUCACCGUCUCUUCUUUCCUCGUUCGAGCUCGUUACAGCUCCAGGCCUAUUUGGAUGCUACCUGGGCUAGUGAUCCUUUGGAUCGUCGCUCACUUUCUGCUUACUGUGUCUUUCUUGGUGGUUCUCUCAUUGCUUGGAAAACAAAGAAACAGACUGCAGUUUCCCGUUCGAGUGCAGAGGCCGAGUUGCGAGCUAUGGCUCUUCUCACGGCAGAGGUGACUUGGUUACGCUGGUUACUCGCAGAUUUUGGUGUUUCAGUUACU